rnacentral:rRNA from 1 species
CACGUAGGGGGCGAGCGUUGUCCGGAUUUAUUGGGCGUAAAGAGCUCGUAGGCGGCUCGGUAAGUCGGGUGUGAAAUUUCGAGGCUCAACCUCGAAACGCCACCCGAUACUGCUGUGGCUAGAGUCCGGUAGGGGAGCGUGGAAUUCCUGGUGUAGCGGUGAAAUGCGUAGAGAUCGGGAAGAACGCCGGCGGCGAAAGCGACUCUCUGGUCGGAAUCUGACGCUGAGGUGCGAAAGCUAGGGGAGCAAACGGG